rnacentral:lncRNA from 1 species
AGAAUUCGAACGAUAAUUUCUGGAGCUUUUAUACUGGAAUCUCCGGGCAGCUAGCUUCGCCCUAAACAAUUCGAUUUUCCUCAAUACAACUGAAAUUUGAAUUGCGGAAUGCCCUUCUUCACACAGGUAUGGUACAAAAGUUACUAUGCGAUGGGUGGCCACAUCAUUAGCAUUCUGCUGCUGUGCUUCACGAGAGUUAAUUUGCUGAAAAACAUUCGCAGGUCGAGCUGGCGGAGUACUGGAGGAAGUGAAUGCACGCUCACUGUAACGCACAUGAUGAUCAACAAGAUUUAAUAAGCCUCUGGCAGCGGAAGAGGCAAAAUCAAUACUUGGAACUCAUUCAAUCACGGCUUCGAUGCCCUGAUGGAACCCAGUUAAAUGCUUCUUCUAACAGGCUCACGGAUCACACAUUCUCCACUAAGCUGCCAGCCAAGGUGAAUCCAGUCACAGCCCCUAAUGAAUGUCAUUUGCUGCUUUUAACAAAAACUGAUCGCUGAAGUCCAUGCGCUCACCACUCUCCCCCUGCCCUUUCUCGAGUUGAUUUUGUCACGGACUGAGACAAUGCAUUUAAUGCACAGAGAAGCUAUUUAGAAUGUGCCCUUCAGUAAUUCAUAUGCCGAGGCGACACAAAUUCAUCCUUGCGAAACAACACAUUUGGUUUGGAAAGCUUCGGGGACACUAUAUCUUUCACGACGUCAUGGAUGGCUUGGCACAGCCGACUACCAGCGAGAGAUGCGAAAGGCACUGACAGACACAGUGACUGGAAAAUUGCCAUAAAGGUUAGUGUCGAUGACGGCCUGCUGCAUAGAGAGAUCAAUUACGAGAGCUUUUUUAUUAUAUAUAUAAACAAAUUAGGCAUAAUCAGGCGUCACAUACCUUCACAAUUAUUGAAUAUGAGACGUCUUUAUACAGUAGCGGCAAUGGUGAUCGGCAUGUAACAGCUGCCAGCGUGCCCACAGUGCUACGAUGACUAACUGUGGAUUGAAAUUUAAUGGCUGUGAAUCGAGUCGCUUGAUUCGCAUCCUUGGUAAUGAUCUACAAUGCCUACAUUUCAUCAUCCCCACUGUCUGUUUGGUUGUCCUUUUCUUUCCUUUUUUUUUUCUUUUUUUUUUU